rnacentral:piRNA from 1 species
GCGAAUAGGUCGACAUAAAUUCUGUGGG